rnacentral:rRNA from 1 species
CUCAAUGAUUUUCAAUAGCCGCAAUACUUUGUGCUAAGGUAGCAUAAUCAUUUGUUUUUUAAUUAAAAACUAGAACGAAAGAUUUAACAUUUUAAUUUCUUUCUAAUAUAUUUAUAUCUAAUUUAUUUUAAAUAUAAAAAAAUAUUUAUUACUUAAAAAGACGAUAAGACCCUAUUGAACUUUACUAAAGUUAAACUGGGGCAGUUAAUUAAAUAUAAUUUUAAUUUAAAUUAAAAAUAACCUAAUACAAUUAAAAAUAUUAAGUUACCAUAGGGAUAACAGCGUAAUUAUUUUCUAAAGUUCUUAUUAAAAAAAUGUUUUACGACCUCGAUGUUGAAUUAAUAAUCUAUAAAAUGCAAUAAUUUUUAAGAAAGUC